UAUGGCAUCUCUUUGUUGGAGGCCUAAACUCUAGCCCUCUAACCUUUCAACGUCUGUUGGAACCUCCUGAAGCAAAUCACAGGCCACCUGAUGAUCCUCCAGGGUGAAAUUUGAUGGUGGGAUCGAAGAGGUCCCCGAUCCUUGACUGAUGGGGGGAGAAUAGAUACUAAAUUGACCUUCUCAACUCAGAAAGAAGAUGGAGCUACAACCUAGAGAGUAGGAGAUAAGGC
rnacentral:lncRNA from 1 species